rnacentral:rRNA from 1 species
UACGAAGGGGGCUAGCGUUGUUCGGAAUUACUGGGCGUAAAGGGCGCGUAGGCGGUGUGUCAAGUCAGGCGUGAAAGCCCCGGGCUCAACCUGGGAACAGCGCUUGAGACUGGCACGCUCGAGUUCGGGAGAGGAUGGUGGAAUUCCCAGUGUAGAGGUGAAAUUCGUAGAUAUUGGGAAGAACACCGAUGGCGAAGGCAGCCAUCUGGACCGACGCUGACGCUGAGGCGCGAAAGCGUGGGGAGCGAACAGG